UACGAAGGGGGCUAGCGUUGUUCGGAAUUACUGGGCGUAAAGCGCACGUAGGCGGAUAUUUAAGUCAGGGGUGAAAUCCCGGGGCUCAACCCCGGAACCGCCUUUGAUACUGGGUAUCUCGAGUCCGAGAGAGGUGAGUGGAAUUCCGAGUGUAGAGGUGAAAUUCGUAGAUAUUCGGAGGAACACCAGUGGCGAAGGCGGCUCUCUGGGACGUGACUGACGCUGAGACGCGAAAGCGUGGGGAGCAAACAGG
rnacentral:rRNA from 1 species